rnacentral:rRNA from 1 species
UACAGGGGGUGCAAACGUUGCUCGGAAUCAUUGGGCGUAAAGCGCACGUAGGCGGUCUGUUAUGUCGGAUGUGAAAGCCCACGGCUCAACCGUGGAAGGUCAUUGGAAACUGGAGGACUUGAGUACAGAAGAGGAAAGCGGAAUUCCACGUGUAGCGGUGAAAUGCGUAGAGAUGUGGAGGAACACCAGUGGCGAAGGCGGCUUUCUGGUCUGUAACUGACGCUGAGGCGCGAAAGCGUGGGGAGCAAACAGG